rnacentral:rRNA from 1 species
UGGGGAAUAUUGGACAAUGGGCGCAAGCCUGAUCCAGCCAUGCCGCGUGAGUGACGAAGGUCUUCGGAUUGUAAAACUCUUUCGUCGGGGACGAUAAUGACGGUACCCGAAGAAGAAGCUCCGGCUAACUUCGUGCCAGCAGCCGCGGUAAUACGAAGGGAGCUAGCGUUGUUCGGAAUCACUGGGCGUAAAGCGCACGUAGGCGGAUAGUUAAGUCAGGGGUGAAAUCCUGGGGCUCAACCCCAGAACUGCCUUUGAUACUGGCUGUCUCGAGGUCGAGAGAGGUUGGUGGAAUUCCUAGUGUAGAGGUGAAAUUCGUAGAUAUUAGGAAGAACACCAGUGGCGAAGGCGGCCAACUGGCUCGAUACUGACGCUGAGGUGCGAAAGCGUGGGGAGCAAACAGGAUUAGAUACCCUCGUAGUCCCUGAGCGGGCUGGCAAGGCGCAU